UGGGGAAUAUUGGACAAUGGGGGCAACCCUGAUCCAGCAAUGCCGCGUGUGUGAAGAAGGCCUGCGGGUUGUAAAGCACUUUGGUUGGGGAGGAAAGGCGUGCAGUGAAUAAUUGCAUGAGUUGACGUUACCCAAAGAACAAGCACCGGCUAACUCUGUGCCAGCAGCCGCGGUAAUACAGAGGGUGCGAGCGUUAAUCGGAAUUACUGGGCGUAAAGGGCGCGUAGGCGGUUAUAUAAGUUAUGUGUGAAAGCUCUGGGCUUAACCUGGGAACUGCACAUAAUACUGUAGAGCUAGAGUAGAGUAGAGGAAAGUGGAAUUUCCGGUGUAGCGGUGAAAUGCGUAGAUAUCGGAAGGAACACCAGUGGCGAAGGCGGCUUUCUGGACUCAUACUGACGCUGAGGCGCGAAAGCGUGGGGAGCAAACAGGAUUAGAUACCCCGGUAGUCC
rnacentral:rRNA from 1 species